UACGUAGGUGGCAAGCGUUGUCCGGAUUUACUGGGCGUAAAGAGCGCGCAGGCGGUCGUUCAAGUCGCGUGUGAAAGCCCCCGGCUCAACUGGGGAGGGUCACGCGAUACUGAUCGACUCGAAGGCAGGAGAGGGAAGUGGAAUUCCCGGUGUAGUGGUGAAAUGCGUAGAUAUCGGGAGGAACACCAGUGGCGAAGGCGACUUCCUGGCCUGUUAUUGACGCUGAGGCGCGAAAGCGAGGGGAGCGAACAGG
rnacentral:rRNA from 1 species